CGGCGGCUGCGGGGGGCGGGGGCUGCGCCCGAGCCGGAUCCGCCGCUCCGGCUCCGAGCAGUGGUCUUGGGGGAAAGGCCGUGGCCCGGCACAGAUGCGUUUGUCCGCAGGAGCGUUGGAGAUUCGGGUGAAGGCGUAAAGCCUGGGGCUUCCAAUGGUACUCUGGGCAGCGAUGGAAGCCUAGAUGCCUCACCGCAAGGAGCGGCCGAGCGGGUCCUCACUUCACGCACACGGCAGCGGCGGCGGCACC